UGUAGACUGCUGAGGAAAGCGGUCCUCUCCCUUGGACUUUUUGAGGCGCCUAUCUGCAUCAGCCGCCGUCCCGGUACAUUUUCCCCGGAGCGGAGGUGCUGGUCGAUCCUGACGAGUCGGACAGUGACAGAGACUCGCUGGACUCGGACCGCGGCAGUGACGAUGAGUCUCCGACCGCUGAGGGCGACCAUCUGAACAACUCCACGGAUACUCCGGAGACGGCAGUCACUCCUACACACAGUGACUCCUGUCCUCCAACGCCUCCUGGACGAACUACAACCUCUGGAGCAUCAUCAGGAGCACCGGGAACGUCUUCUUCAUCACCUGCUGAGGAGCAACCAUCGGCUUCACCGACGGUGAACCCUUCUUCGACGUCGGAUAUCGAGAUGGAACCAGAAACGGUGGGUUCGCCGGGCUCAGCCCUGAAAAGGCCGAUCAGUGAAACACUAGGUGGAGAGGAGGGGAGCGGUGUGAAGAGACCGGCGUUCGGUGGCGGGGGUGAGCCUGGCGUGUCUCCCGCCACCGCCAAAACCGGAAAAUACCACCGGCUUAGCUGAGGCGAUCAGGUAAUCUACCACUUCGGGAUUCGGUAUCAGGGGAUUCGGUAAAACACACAAUGGUGAUGUCAGUUCGGUGAAGGUGUUCACUCACACCAUUGCUCAUAAUGUUAGACAAUGGACCACAGACGCUAUUUUCAUACAGAGUCAGCGCGAUAUGCGCUAUCUAUUUGUGUCUAGUUGACUGAUGUGCUUGGACUGCAGAUUGGCCGAGAUAGGGAGUGCCGGGUGGGAUGUGGCUAGGAAGUGGAAUUUGGGAACUCAAUUGAAGCGAUUCCUUUGAUGGUGAUCAUGCGAGCAAUUUUGGAGCUAUGAGCCGACGGUGAGCUUAUUUAGGACUGACAUCUUUGGAGUUAAACGGAGCGGAACGAGCCAGUGGCUAGCUUUGAGUAGUUUUAAGCCAUUGGUGAGCUAAUUUGGAGCUCGGAGCUCAGGAUGAGCUAAUUGGAGAUUUAGGAGGAUGAGCUUAUUUGAGCUAUAUGAACCAGUGGUGAGCUAUCCUGCAGCCCUGCGUCAGUGGUGAGCUAAGUAAUCCCAUCUUCCGGCGUGUAGCCGAACAGCCGCUCCCCAAAUAGGUACCCCAUUUUAUUCGUGACGUCUUUUUUA
rnacentral:lncRNA from 1 species